CAUGCACACCAACAAGUCACAAGACAGUGCGCAUUCCCACAAAACACUUUUAAAAGCGACAACCAAAAAGUUUAUAAAAAACAAAAGGAGAGAGACAUAAACGUGACUUACCAGCUCCGAGCGUCAGUGCUCACUGAAGCUGGUCACAAAGGUGCGACGCCAAAUCACUCCCCAGGGAAACAAAAAGAUCAUAAAUAAUGCCUCUCACCUGGAUAGUAGAAGGAUGAAGACGUAUUCCGACAAGUUGGUCCACUUUAACAGCCAGUUGGCGAGAACGACACGAAAAGACCCUUGGUUCCAACCCCCGGUUUCUUCAACAAUGACCUCCGGGGUGACCUCCGCUCAGGCAAGGCGACGCCGCCGAUGUUUUGAUGAACAACUCGGUUCAAAGCUGGUGCACUACUGUCAUCACAACAGUACUACAUUGUACGGUGUUGCGAUGACAACUGCUGCUGGUGUUUAUGACGGUUUGAAUUGCUGAGCGAGCACAAACAACACAACAUCCUUUUACGUGUUUCCAAAUAGGUGUCCUUUAU